rnacentral:lncRNA from 1 species
CCCGCGAUCCUGUCUCCUUGGAGGCGGCGUGCUUCAAGGCGGUGUAAAUUUAGCUCCCGCCGUCUCUCACGUGUCGCGCCCUCCAGCCCUUGCGGGAGCCCUUCUGCGCGGCUCCUGUCCGGCGGGCGCCUCCGCCGCCACGCGGGCACCCCUGCCCCACGGCGUCACCGCCUGUCCUCGCCCCCCUGGGUGCAGGCUGGCACCGCAGCCCCCACGUCCCGGGGGCACAAACGGGUGGCGAGGUCACACCCGGCCCCUUGGCAAUGGGGGCUGGUGCCUGCCCCUUGCUGCUGCUCCCGGCGUGCCCCUCGCAGCCGGCCCUCGUGCCGCGCCGUGCCAGCCACGUCCUCCUCCUGUCGCCCGGCCCCAGACACCAGGGCAGCGCCGUCGCCUCCGGCAGCUGCACGGGGCCGCCGAGCCGCUCAGCUGCUGCAGCACGGGGGCUGCUUUGAAAUUCCUGGGCUGCCAUCUGUGCUAUGCAAAUCCCCCAAUCUGACGGCUGCGUGUGGACCCGCUUCCGGACUCGGCGGCAGGAGCUGUUAUUAUCUCGCUCCUCCUCCCUUCCAGCACCCAGCGGCGGAUUCAGAGCAGCGGGGACAUCGCCAGUUCUCAUGCAAAGAAGCCAAAAAUCCUUUGCAAAAAGCUCUUUGCUCUACCCCAGCUGGGCCAUGGAGUCAGAACACAACGGGUGGGGCGUGGGGCCACCAGUCACCUCGAGUCACCGGCGGGUCUGUCGGGAGCACGGGGCUGGUGGCAUCCCGUGGGUGUCCGUGCCCCACUGGGAGGGAGCUGGGGGCAAGGCUGGUGCCGGCAGCAGCGGGUUCGUCCAUCACAUCCCCAGCCAGGCAUGGGGGAGCCGCGGGGCUGUGCCUGUGCAGCACCCACGCAUCCACUCCCCACCCCAGGGAGCCUGGGAGUCCCCAGCCUGGGGGUAGCAUGACACACAGCACAGACUGUCCAAAAAGCAGAACCGAGGCUGCACCCUGCUUUCCCAGUGUCUCCAUAUGGAGUCGAUGUGCAAACACCCCUGAGCAGCUCCUGCCUCAGUUCUCCACCAGUCCAGCACCGCGGGGCAGCACUGGAGGGCACGGAGAUGGCAGCUCGGUGUCCCCACAGGUCACCUUGCCCCUGGCCAGCUGUGGGUAG